rnacentral:rRNA from 1 species
AUGGCCGAGGAGUUCGAGCUGCCUGAAUUCAACCCGAGGGAGCGCGCCAAGCAGCAGAUUUCGGUGCCAUUUCUGUGGGAGGUGAAGCCCGGUGCGCCGAAGAGGGACUGGGCGAUCUCCAAGCCGGCGCCCACGGUCUUCUCAUGUCCAUCCCCGGUCAAGCUUGUUGUCAGUGUGCCAUUCCAGUGGGAAGAGAAGCCUGGGAAGCCCCUACAAGACAUGUCACGCUUUCAUGCACCGUCCGAUCGUCAUGCCGGCUUUUCGGUAUCUCCUUACUCACUGAACCCUUUUGUGGCCGAGGAUGAUGAAGAGUACACGCUGGGGUUCGACCUGGAAGCGUUCGGGUUUCCAGACGACAGCAAGGCGUCCACCGGCGCCGCGGAUUAUGCGGACGGGUCGAGCCGCCAUGGCGCCUGGUACUCGUUUUCAGAGUCAGAGGACUACAGCAACUCCAGCGGGAACACCUCUUCCCGGGAGUCCCAGUUCCCCCGGGCGCCGUCGGAGCGGAGCUGGGAGGUGGCCAACGAUGACGACCAUGAGCUGACCAAGCCGCGGAGCCCUCUGAGGAGCGCGUUCACGCUGGAGGAGCUCAUGAUGCUGAGCCGCAAGCUGGGCGGCGGGCAAGGGUUCCCGGCCGAUGUGAGGAAGAAGAGCCUCUCCCCCUCGCUGUCCUCUGUGUGGGCGGCUCCGUGGCUGUUGCGGCACAUGGACGAGCUGUACCGUGUGUGCAUGUGCGUGUGA